CACAGCUAGAGGUUCACAGGAUGUUAGUAAAGGGAUGUGUGCGUGGGAUUCUUUUGAAAGGCAAAUGGCCUAGCCAGGAGAAAGCAGACUUCAGAUUAAUGGAGGGAGUGAGAUUUGGAGGAAGACUAGAAACUACACACAUAAACCUCGGUGAAGUUCUCCAAGAGAUGUGAGAAGUUGUGGCCAAGCACCAGCAGAACCCACCACCCAGCACCCAUCCUCUCAGCUG